GGGGUGGAGAAUGAGGGGUGGGGUUUGGGCCACAUAUUUUUAUGUUUACAUUUUAUUUCAGAUUGGAAAAUUUGUAUUUCACUGUCAAAUCAAGUAAGAACACAUUUAUUACUUAGUGUUGCUUGAAAUAAUAUCUACAAUGUUUAAAGUUUCAUUUAAAAGCAUAAACUUCUUUUAAGCUCAAAGUUAAAAACACAAAUAUAAACUGCAUUUCAUGUUCUGUUAAUAUUUAGCUGUGUGGCAAUGGAUGAGUAUUUUUUCUCUGUGAGGCUUUGUUUUCUCAUCUGGCAAAUGAGGAAAUUGAUGCAGAUCAUCUUCAAGUUCCCUUCAUGAUAUUUAAUAUAACUAUUUAUGUCAUGCUUGUAAAUAGUAGGUGAUGAUGAAGGUUACUGUUCCCCACAGGUGAAUGCUGCAAUGAUCAUUGGUAGGACUGUUAGGCUUUGUUUCUCAAGAGGAUAAUCUGAUUGGGAAAAGAAUAAGAGUGCAGCUGCAGCCCAUCCUUGUGAAGAAGGUACCAGUGCGCUCUCAAAGCCAAGUCUUGAAAAUAAUAGCGAAUGCUGUAUUGGAUAACAGCCAUGCCAGAUACAGAGAAGCCACAGAUGGCAUUGUCACCAGAAAAUGGAAGCACAAAGCGCUUUGGGUAACAGCAAUUCAAGAAUGACUGCAGAGAAAAUCUAUUAAGAAAUUCAAAUGCAGAUUUCAAUAUUUACUCCUUUUCAUUCUCUUCCUCUCUCUCUCGCUCACUUGCUCUUUUUCUCUCUCCCACCUUGUUUUUCUCGCUCUCCUUUUUUUUGCAUACAGUUUCUCAGUAAAAUACAUUUGAUUAAAUUUUAUAACAAACAAGCUUAUGAAAUGCAGAUAUACAAAAAGGAAAACAUAAGAAGCAUGCAUAAUUCUACCACUGAAAAAUACUACUAAAAUUUGGUAUUUAAACUUUUGAAUGUUUGUCACUGCACUUGCAUGUGUGUGUAAAUAUAAUCUCCAACUCUGCAGAGAAAUACAAGAAUUGUUAUGAACCUUAAUAAACUCCCAAAAGAUUUCAAAA